rnacentral:lncRNA from 1 species
GGCCGGCUGAGCGCGCCCGGGGGCCGGACGCUAGCUGAGGGCGGGGGGUAGCGGGUGACGGCGCUGACGGGGGACGGCCUGACCGACCGGCUCGAGGGGAGGGGGCGGGCUGUCGACCGACUGAGCUGCGAGAAGACGGCAGGCGGGGGGACCGACGGACUGAGCAGAGGAUGGAGCGGGAGAGGGGGGCUGGCUAACGGACGGCCCGCUGGACCGGCCGAGGGGAGGGAGCACUGACUGACUGACUGACUGACUGACUGACUGACUGACUGACGGGCCGAUGGACCGGCCGAGGGGAGGGAGCGCUGACUGACUGACUGACUGAUUGACUGACGGGGCCGAUGGACCGGCCGAGGGGAGGGAGCGCUGACUGACUGACUGACUGACUGACUGACGGGCCGAUGGACCGGCCGAGGGGAGGGAGUACUGACGGACGGACGGAGGGACAGACGGACUGACGGACGGGGUUGGCCUAGAGCGCCCGGGGCCUCGGGUGGACGGCGGCCGCGGGAGGACGGCUUCCCAGCAGUUGGCAGCCGCGGGCCUGGCGUCCGGUGGUGGAAGACCUUAGUCUUCGGACCCUGUCCCAGGCAUGACCCGUUCAAAAGCCUCCCUUCCAGAUGGUCACUCUCUGCCCCGGCGUGUCACGUGGUGAUGCUCUGACUUCCGUUCCAUGCCCUGCUGUCUGAGGCUCCUGACCGGCCACCAAACCUGCUGAUAAAAAGUGGGUUAGUGCCUGCAGUGACCAGAAGGUGCUGGCACGUCUAAGGGCUCAGACUUGUUUCCGAGGCACCAGAGUGAUUUAGAAAACUUUUCUGACACAAGCCCCUUUACGAAAAGGUGUGUGGUUUGCCUAAAUGCCUGUGGAGUCUGGGCCAUGAAUGGAGAAGUCAGUCCAGGGAAUGACGAUGGAAGGAGCUGAGUUUACUGCCUUGGAGACCAGAGCCUCGCUACCAGAAACCAUAUCCAGGUACCUUGAAGGUCAGCAACCGCAGUGGCUAAGGCUUGAUUCUUGCAGAACUGGAGGGAAGCGAUGUAUUGACUUUGCACAUAAAGUUCACCAAAGCUGCCUGCAGGUUCAAGGUGAGCGGUGGGUCAUUAUGACCCCUUACAGGACUGAGAAAGGACUGUUAGCUUCUGGCACCAGAAGAAGAAAAAUUGGUCUUUAUGGUUGGCCAGAUAUUUCUGGUUAAAGCAUAAGUUUGCGCAGUGCAUCCUGGGGGAACAGAGUGGAGAAGGGAGGUACAGGCAGGCAGGGAAAAUUCUGCAAUAAAGUUUUCCUUGUCUUGUCCUAAUAUAUG